rnacentral:lncRNA from 1 species
ACAAACUGUGGAAAACUUCUUAUUCACUUUGCCACUGCAAAAUACUGUGAAUUACAAGUGUUGUGAAUACUCUAUUCACCUCUAUUAUAAAACAAGGGUUACUCCCUCUAUUUAUAGAUUUAGGUUAACUUGGACUUCAAGCCAAAGCCCAAAACUAUAAAAGCCCAAAAUAGCUAACACUACUUAACACACUAGGUGGUUGGACACUUCCUUGCUCUGUCGAGCAACCUGCUUCGACACAAGGAAUUACAAUUCAAC